rnacentral:rRNA from 1 species
GACGAACGCUGGCGGCGUGCCUAAUACAUGCAAGUAGAACGCUGAAGAGAGGGGCUUGCUCUUCUUGGAUGAGUUGCGAACGGGUGAGUAACGCGUAGGUAACCUGCCUGGUAGCGGGGGAUAACUAUUGGAAACGAUAGCUAAUACCGCAUAAAAUUGAUUAUUGCAUGAUAAUUAAUUGAAAGAUGCAACUGCAUCACUACCAGAUGGACCUGCGUUGUAUUAGCUAGUUGGUGAGGUAACGGCUCACCAAGGCGACGAUACAUGGCCGACCUGAGAGGGUGAUCGGCCACACUGGGACUGAGACACGGCCCAGACUCCUACGGGAGGCAGCAGUAGGGAAUCUUCGGCAAUGGGGGGAACCCUGACCGAGCAACGCCGCGUGAGUGAAGAAGGUUUUCGGAUCGUAAAGCUCUGUUGUAAGAGAAGAACGGGUGUGAGAGUGGAAAGUUCACACUGUGACGGUAUCUUACCAGAAAGGGACGGCUAACUACGUG